rnacentral:rRNA from 1 species
GAUGAACGCUGGCGGCGUGCCUAAUACAUGCAAGUCGAGCGAACAGACGAGGAGCUUGCUCCUUUGACGUUAGCGGCGGACGGGUGAGUAACACGUGGAUAACCUACCUAUAAGACUGGGAUAACUUCGGGAAACCGGAGCUAAUACCGGAUAACAUGUUGAACCGCAUGGUUCAACAGUGAAAGACGGUCUUGCUGUCACUUAUAGAUGGAUCCGCGCCGCAUUAGCUAGUUGGUAAGGUAACGGCUUACCAAGGCAACGAUGCGUAGCCGACCUGAGAGGGUGAUCGGCCACACUGGAACUGAGACACGGUCAAGACGCCUAAGGGAGGCAGCAGUAGGGAAUCUUCCGCAAUGGGCGAAAGCCUGACGGAGCAACGCCGCGUGAGUGAAGAAGGUCUUCGGAUCGUAAAACUCUGUUAUUAGGGAAGAACAAAUGUGUAAGUAACUAUGCACGUCUUGACGGUACCUAAUCAGAAAGCCACGGCUAACUACGUG